rnacentral:rRNA from 1 species
AGAACGAACGCUGGCGGCAUGCCUAACACAUGCAAGUCGAACGAGACCUUCGGGUCUAGUGGCGCACGGGUGCGUAACGCGUGGGAAUCUGCCCUUGGGUUCGGGAUAACAGUUGGAAACGACUGCUAAUACCGGAUGAUGACUUCGGUCCAAAGAUUUAUCGCCCAAGGAUGAGCCCGCGUAGGAUUAGCUUGUUGGUGAGGUAAGAGCUCACCAAGGCGACGAUCCUUAGCUGGUCUGAGAGGAUGAUCAGCCACACUGGGACUGAGACACGGCCCAGACUCCUACGGGAGGCAGCAGUGGGGAAUAUUGGACAAUGGGCGAAAGCCUGAUCCAGCAAUGCCGCGUGAGUGAUGAAGGCCUUAGGUGUAAAGCUCUUUACCGGGAUGAUAAUGACAGUACCGGAGAAGUAAGCCCCGGACUAACCGUCCGUGCCAGCACGCCGC